AGGAGACAUUGAGCAGAGAGACCCACUGAGAGGCAAUUGAAGUAAUCCAAAUAGAAAUGGUGUAGAUGUGACCUAAGGUAGGGACCAGGUGAGUAGAAGAAAGGGGAGAUGGAUGAGAGAGAUGUUGAUGAGGUCAAAAUGACUAGACUUGGGAAGUGAUUGGAUAUAUGGAAAGAGGGGAGAAUGGGGAACCAGAAGGAUGCUGGUGCUCUCUACAGACACUGGUGUUAUGUGUUCUUUGUUUCAAAGGGGACCAGUGACAGCAGGGGGUGUUCUUGUGAUUUGUGCCUGACUUGGAGUUAAGUGAGACAGUGUUGCAUAUAAUUGUCAGCCUUACUCUCUCCUAGAGUCACUGAAGUCCAGUGGCAAGUCACAAGUCAGAACAACAGGCGAUGAUGAUCUGGGAGGCAAUGGAUGAGAUGCCAUAGGAUGUGUCCCAGGGUCCUGCUGCCUCAAAGACUGAGUACAAAGACUGUCCACAAGCCAAAUUGGGAGAUGAGAGUUUUCUAUAUUAGAGCUUUUAGGGUCCAUCAGCAGAGUUUUUUCUCGGUAUUAGUGACAGAGCAUUAAAAUGGCACUACUCUAAAGACUCACUACUACCUGCCCUCCAGAUACUGGAGCCAACAGGACACAGACCAAGGCUGGACCUGGGAGAAGCUGGGAGGAACACUGGCUGCACUAGCUACCCAGCAUGGCCCUUUGCCAUCUUGGGAUCCUGUAGGCUAUUCUAAUUUCUUCAAUAAGCUUUAUGAGUUAUCUACUGGGCUCUACCUUGACUUUUCACCAGGGUUUAUGAAGUAUGAUGAUCCUCAAGACUUCUAGCUCUCUAGUCACCCACCUCAGGACCCCCUCCAUCUUAUCAAUGCCAUCCCUAGAGGACAGUGCCUGGGAAACUAAGCACAUCAUGCCAGAUGGGCUAGAAGGAACAUCUGCCCCAUGUGAGUUAGACUAGUCUUUUUUCAACAAGGGCAAUGUAACCACUUGGGAAUCAAUUGCUCAAAGUUGCUUCCCAGUUGCCUAAAGCCUAAAAAUGCAGACUGGAUUUCCUCCUGAUGUGUGAAUCAGUCACAAUCCUUGAGGUAAAGUGUCUCCAUUAUGAAGAUCGGGUCCAAUUGAGACAUCAUAUCUUUGCUAAGAAGCCUUCUCAUGCUGCUAUUAAGUAUAUAAUGAUAAAUUCCAACUGUAAAGCAUUAUAU
rnacentral:lncRNA from 1 species